UCUAAAUCAUUUCUCUACCCUCCUCCUUAUCAGUAUAAGUAGGGGCCCUGAGCUACCACUCUGGUUAGCGCAGAAGUCACCCUUUUUGCCCUACAAAAUGUCUCUUCUCCAAGCAACAGUGAGAUGCGGCCUUACUGCCUUAUUCCUGGGGUUCUGCCUACAACUAGUCAUUGGGCAAGAUGAUGAAAACCGGAAGCCACUUGUCCUGAAAAUAAGCCCAAUACCAAGUGCUAAAAGAAAUGAACUAUGGGAAUUAAGAUGUAAUGUUUCAACUGAAGCAAGAGAAUGUGUGCCAAUGCUAAUAUAUCCUGGGACCACCUCAUCCACUAAUUGUGCUUAUAAGGCAUACUCAUAUAAAGCGUGUAUAUGCCCAGGAGACAGGGCAAGAAACUUCUACUGGGACAUAUGCAGCCAAAAUGAUGUAUAUGUGUAUUGUGAAGCUACUACUAUUUUAGAAAAUGGCAUCUUUGAUUGCAUUCCUCCCCCACAAUACCUACAAUUAAUGCCUGUAUACCUUAUAAUAAAGUUGAGUGAUCUCAAUAAUAUUUUUUCUUUCUCAUAACAAACACUAUGGAUUUCUAGGAUGUCGUUUUUUUUAAAAAAAUACUUUCAUAGCUAGGUGUGGUAGCCUGUUUCUGUAUUUCCUGCUACUAGGAAGAUCGAGGCUGGUAUAUCUCCUGAGCCCUGGAUUCUGAACUGGGUUAAGUAGAUGGAAUUGGCCCAAGUCAGAAAAAUGGAGCAAAUUAAAGUUCCCGUGAUGAUUGAUAUUAGAAUAAAGCCAAUGUACUUUCAUUUUGGGCAAGAUAGCACAGCUAAUCUAGAA
rnacentral:lncRNA from 1 species